rnacentral:lncRNA from 1 species
AGUGCCUCACAGACAGCAUCCCAGCACAUCAUGGAGAGCUAAGUGACAGAACAGGCAGCUCCUCUUCUCCCUGACAUGGGCAGUGUUUAAUCAUUCCCUUUGCAAAGGAUCCCCAAAUUGGGAGAGGCUGGAUGGAUGACUAAGUCAAGUUGGUGCAAAAUGAGUCACGUUUCUUGAAGGUCACUUCCCCAAAUGUAUGAGCCACCAAAGGGAAAGGAAAACUAUUUCUUAAGGUUCUAAGAAUUAAGUAGCAUGAAAUCCAAAUCUAAAAUCAUUGUCUCCAUGCUUCAUUGAAGAAAAUGAACGUGAAAAAAUCCAAUAGCAGCUGCAAACCAUUUAAGAAUUCCUAGUUAAACUGCAAAAUACAUUUUCAACCAUUUAGCCAUAACAACUUCUAAACGGAGAAAGUUGCUUCUUUAUAUAAACCACCUCUGUUUACCAAACAUCAGAGAAUCUCCGGGCAGAGGGCUACUGCAGGAUGGGAAUAGUAAGAGAAUGUUACAACCCAUGAGGUGCUGAUCUGCACACACCACCGUGAGGAAAUACCUUAAGUGAUUAAAGACAAACGCCACCUGCAUGCUUGGCAAAGGAGUCCACUGCUAUCGCCACACACUCUCCCCAGUGAGAGAGGGGAAACGAUGGACUGAAGUCCCACAGUGGAUUAGAACUGGGCACAAAAGGAGCCAGGAACAGAAGAUGGCAGCAUAGGAAGGGAAUGUUAUGCUUUGCCCCAGCUGGGGACUCUGGC